rnacentral:rRNA from 1 species
GAUGAACGCUGGCGGCGUGCCUAAUACAUGCCAGUCGAGCGAACAGACGAGUCGGUUUCCCCGCUGACGUUACCGGCGGAUGGCUGAUUAACACGUUGAUCACCUAUUUAUAAUACUCGGAUAACUCCGGGACAACGGCGCUAAUACCCGACAAUAUAUUUAACCUCAUGGUUCAAUAGUUUACGACGGUUUUGCUGUCACUGAUCGAUGGAUCCGCGCCGCAUUAGCUAGUUGGUCAGGUAACGGCUUACUAAGGCGACGAUGCGUAUCCGACGGGAGAGGGUGAUAGGCGACACUGGAAGUGAGACGCGGACCAGACGCCUGCGGGACGCAGCAGUAGGGAAUGGGCCGCAAUGGGGGAAAGCAUGACGGAGCAGCGCCGAGUGAGAGAUGGAGGUCUUCGGAGAGGAAAACUCUGUUAUGAGGGAAGAACAAAUGUGUAAGGAGCUAUGCAGGUCUUGACGGUACCUAUAGAAAAAGCCCCGGCUAACUACGUG